GUGCUCGUUUAGACAGCACAUAUUCUAAAAGUGUAACAAUACAGGGAUUAGCAUGGCCCCUGUGCAAGGGUGACACGCAAAUUCAUGAAGCAUUCCAUAUUUAA